GAUGAAGAACGUAGUGAAAUGCGAUAAGUAAUGCGAAUUGCAGAAUCCGUGAGUCAUCGAAUCUUUGAACGCACAUUGCGCCCUCUGGUAUUCCGGAGGGCAUGCCUGUUCGAGCGUCAUUAUCACCCCUCAAGCCCGGCUUGUUGUUGGAUGCAGCGCUUAUCCCGCUCCUCCCAAAGAUAAUGACGGCGUCUGCGACGACUCCUGUACACUGAGCUUUCGGGCACGUACACGGCUAGAAGUCCAGACCCGGUCGCCGUCCCCCCCGCGGGGACACCCAUUACCACAAGGUUGACCUCGGAUCAGGUAGGAAUACCCGCUGAACUUAAGCAUAUCAUAAGCGGAGGA
rnacentral:misc_RNA from 1 species